ensembl:lncRNA
CAAAAGGUUAGCACACAGCGGUGCGCGGAGAAGACACGUUUAGCAGUCAGAAAUAUUGUACUGUAGUAGCUUUAAAUUACAUUCCUGGGGGAAUGCACUUUUUAAAGUCUACUCACUGGUGGCUUCCCAGUCGACUCACUCACCAUUGGGCUAUCCUCUACUCUCUUCACUGCCUCGGCAUAGGAAACUUUCUGCCCCACGUGAACUCUGGCAAUCUCAACCUGUCUCCCUCUCACAGGGCACUUCAGAUCCACAGCUGCAUGGGAACCCCCACAAUUGACAGACAGGGCUUUUUCUAUGCCAACUGUACACUCCCUCUGACUGCCCUCCUGCACAUUUUUUACAUUGUGGGAUCUCACUGCUGCAAUGUGUCCGAAUCGUUGGCACUUAAAGCACCAAAGUGGGUUCGAAACAGGCCCUCGCAGAAAAUCUAAUAUAACCUAACCAGACCUUAUGAGGUAGAAACUCUGUGUCAAAGCUCAACAAAACUGACAGGGUAUUGUCAGUCUCGCCAUUGCCACCCGGUCUACAUCUCACCAAACAGCAGGCGUCACAAAUACUAGGAAUAUUCCUUUUCAUUUCGUCCACCUCUAUACUCAACACUAUCACCCCUUUUAGCGGUACCCUGCUCCGGAGAGCAAAGCACACCACCGGUUGAGCCCCGGGCCGUGUGACUCGAAGUGCCUGCUCUGUCGCUGCAGGUAAUCCUGGACUGGCUCAACCUCAGAGUGCUCACCACUGCUGUCUGACUCCAUUUAGAGAUCGUCAAGAUUCUCAAGAGUGCAUGAAGACCUAUAAGUAAUAUUACUUGGUUUGUAAUCAGGAGACAUAGGUUAUCAUGGUGUGUGAUGUUCAUCUCCAGAUCUGUGGACUGAUGAAUUCUCCAAACUUUUAAGUACCACUCCCUUCAUGUGCUUCCUGCUCCUCUUGAUUCCCACAAGUCUAACUACGAAACCAAACUUCCCACCUUCAGCACACUAGCCACAGUUGGGCUAGGGUUCUUCCACUAUGCUCACAUUAUUUCCUGCCCAGUGUGGACUGAGGUCACUCCUCAGGUUGUUCCUCCGUAUUCUGGUAUGCGGCGACAGAGAUGGCGCUGUAGGGGUUCAGGACCAUCUGGGCACAGCGCACUAUGGUGAACAGCAGGAAGGAACACAGUAGAAAGACAAAGAAGAGAGCAAAGCCCAGGUCCACGUCCACCUCCAUCCUGGCCACCGGCAGGAGAGGAGGGUCCAUGACUUAUCGUAUCCAAUUGAGGCUGAUGCAGACUGACAAAGGUAAAAAAAAUAUAUAUAUAUAUAUAUAUAUAUAUAUAUAGGUAGAAAACCUUUUUUUAAAGUGUCCUUUGCCACUUGGUGUUGGACAACACUAGAAUCCAAACUUUCUCUCGUCCGUCCUUUUGUAUCUAUCUACUUGUUCUAACAACAUAGAAUCGUAGCUUGUUCUAAUGAAGGGUCUUAAUGCUGUCUAUGCUUCUCUAGAA